rnacentral:sRNA from 2 species
AGGCUCGGUUUGAAUGGCAUCAUCAUCAUCAUCACCAUCCUGGAUUCGGUUCUUUCCCACUGUACGUCACGCCGUAGUUCGUACAAGCCGUUUCGAUUCUUAUUACAAUGGAAAUCGUACGAAAUGGUUUGCAAAAUUUCCCAUACAACGGUGACGGAAAUGUCUCUUCUAGAGAUCAGCGGGAACAAAAAGAUGUGGAGCCCCCGCUGUAACUUACCAUAUUUCUGACAGACCCUGUUGAACGGAAAAUGACUGAAGAAUGCAACUCGGGCAGGACUGUUGAGAUUCGCGGGAGAUAUACGAGAAAGGGAAAGUAUAAAAUUA